rnacentral:rRNA from 1 species
GACGAACGCUGGCGGCGUGCUUAACACAUGCAAGUCGAACGGCAAGGCCCUACUUUUGUGGUGUCCUCGAGUGGCGAACGGGUGAGUAACACGUGAGUAACCUACCCUUAACUUGGGGAUAACUGCAGGAAAUAGGAGGUAAUACCGAAUAGAAUCGCCUUCUCCCUGGUGGGGUUUGGAAAGUUUAGGUGCGGUGUGGUGGAUGCGGGGGUUAUCGGCUCGUUAGUGGGGUAGUGGGUUAAAAGGCCUGUGACGGGAAGCCGGCAUUAGAGGGUGAACGGGGCCCUUGGUCCUACGAUACGGCCCAGCCUACUAUGGGCGGCAGUAGUCGGGAAUAUUACAGAACGGGGGGAAGCCUAAUGCAGCAGCGCCGCGUGUGUAAUGACGGCCUUCGGGUUGUAAACCGCGUUCGCCUGUGACGAUGCGUUAGUGACGGUAAUGGGUAAAGAAGCCCCGGCUAACUACGUG